GAUGAACGCUGACAGAAUGCUUAACACAUGCAAGUCAACUUGAACUUCGGUUUGGGUGGCGGACGGGUGAGUAACGCGUAAAGAACUUGCCUCACAGAUAGGGACAACAUUUGGAAACGAAUGCUAAUACCUGAUAUUAUGAUUAUAUGGCAUCGUAUAAUUAUGAAAGCUAUAUGCGCUGUGAGAGAGCUUUGCGUCCCAUUAGCUAGUUGGAGAGGUAACGGCUCACCAAGGCGAUGAUGGGUAGCCGGCCUGAGAGGGUGAUCGGCCACAAGGGGACUGAGACACGGCCCUUACUCCUACGGGAGGCAGCAGUGGGGAAUAUUGGACAAUGGACCAAGAGUCUGAUCCAGCAAUUCUGUGUGCACGAUGAAGUUUUUCGGAAUGUAAAGUGCUUUCAGUUGGGAAGAAAAAAAUGACGGUACCAACAGAAGAAGUGACAGCUAAAUACGUG
rnacentral:rRNA from 1 species